AGGCGCAUGCGCGCGCGCAGCUGAAACGCCGGCUGAUGAAACUGACAAAGGCGAGAGCGCGCAGCAGCCCACAGCAGCCGAGUUCGCGCCGCCGGUGGCUGGACUCAGACACAUCACGCUCCAGUUUGGGUUCCAAGGUGCUUCUCUCUGGAUUUUCACCUGCCUUGCCAAAAAUGAUUGAUUACGCUGGGCCAACUGGGUGUCCGGCAAUACCCAACAAAUGACUUUGGCCCCUAACAGCAGGUCUUGGCCAGACAGAAAUCAAUAUUUCACCAUUAAAAUCUAUCAAAGAAGAGUUAAGGCACCAUCUGUCCCUGCCGCCUCUCUAUGGUGUGUGAACAUUAAAUCCGACACUUGUACUACAUGGGUAAUCAAUAUAUAGUGGUUCACAGAUCAUUUGUGGUUCCCUUUUAGCAGUGAUGGAUGUCUGGAAUCGUUGUGAUUCAUUUUGUCAGACCAUUAAACAAGAUUCUGUCCAGUUCCUUCCU
rnacentral:lncRNA from 1 species